ensembl:ncRNA lncRNA:CR46102 long non-coding RNA:CR46102
AUUCGCUUCAUGUAGCGAUGCCGGCCGGUACAAAAAAUAAGCAUAAAAUGGAAUAAUUAUAAGGGGAAGCAGAACAAGCAAAGAGUGUACACCGAAAGAAAAUGCAUAAAUUCUGAACUUUAAAGAACCCUUUUUUUUAAUGUCAUAUAUAGCACGCCAAAAAGUAUGCCACACUCGAUUUUAUCCCGGUACUUUAGUCACUUUAAGCAUGAGUUUUAGUGGAACUUUUAUUACAGUGUAAGCAGAGGCGAGUUGUAGAGGAAAGUAAAAGGUUUCUGCCGACAAAAAAGAGCACGGAGCAUGGGGAGAAAAGGGAAAGAGCUCUGCAGUCUGGAAAUCGUAUGACGAUGUGGAAUGUUGGGACAUGGAAAUGGAAGUGCAGUUUACUGGCAUUGCCAGACGCUUUGGCUUUCGGCUGGCAACAAAAUUCACAUAAAUAAAACUUGAGCCGAGUCAGUCGGAGUCGGAGCCUUAGCUAAAAUCGGAGUCGGACUGGAAAUCGGGGUAUGCAUACGUAUGUACACAUGGCUGGUGGCAUGAUCGCCAGAAAUGAGAGAGUUGGAGUUGGAGCCACCAACUAUAAACACCGCAUCCCCUUACACUCGGAGAAAUCGAAGAAGAUCCGACAAAGUCGAACCAUGAUUACGAGCCUUAAGUGUUUAC